rnacentral:misc_RNA from 1 species
CUUUUUAGAGGAAGUAAAAGUCGUAACAAGGUUUCCGUAGGUGAACCUGCGGAAGGAUCAUUAAAGAGUUUUAAGGUUAUUGUCUAUCCUCUCCUGGAUGAAUCAAUGCCUUUUUCCUUCUCUACCCUUUAUAUAUUUCUAUAUUCAGUUGCUUUGGCAAUGUUCACUUUGAUAAUUGCCAAGGGAAUUUUAUAAACCCUUUUUGUUAUCCAAUAAUUGGUUACUUAUUGUCUGAUUUUUAAUGCUGAAAUAGUAUUUAAAACUUUCAACAAUGGAUCUCUUGGUUCUG